GUGAGUUUGAAGUCUUAAUAUAACCGCCACAAGGUCCAGCCGAUGGGUUUGGAAAUAAACAAAAUCUCGAGAAGAAAUAAGACAACUACAACAAGGGGAGGUAACAUACAGCUCGCUAUUCUGGUCCGGAGCACUCAGCGAGGACUUAACUUAAAACCGCUCCACGGCUAUGAACCAGGCCUCGUUUUUGAGCUCUAAGCAGAAGUAGAGUGGUGUACAAAUGUAGGUUAGGGUUGUGUGAGAUGCCAGCACCACGGAGCGGAGACUCGGGCCUGGACGUGGUCUCCUGUUUGUGAACGGAGGGGAGGGUCAGGCAAGGGGCUAGUAGGAGAAGGGGGAGGGGGGAAAACUUUUUUUUUUAUAUCAACACGCAAGAUAACAAGUCCUCGAACCCAACGUAAAGUCCACGCCUCAGCACCACACUUGAUAUGCAAGAGAAAAAGAAAUGUGUUUGUAUCCAGAGAUCACUUCUCGGAAGACAAAGUGUGUACUACUUGUGUGUAAAGAGAAAGUUAGGGUGAGCUGAAUGCAUGGCUGGCUAGCUUGAAUCAUUUUUGUAUUUUUUAUUCUUAUAGUUGAGGUGGAUGGCCAGAAACACAACCCCUCCCCCUUCACACUCUCCUCCCCCACCUCCUGUUUCAAUCACACCACCGGUGUGCGAGCGUGUGCUUGUGUGUGUGUGUGUGAGUGCCUGUGUGCUACUCACCACUUGAACUGACGCGCGCAACGCUAACUACCAGCAUGGAUUGAUAUGUGGCAGAGAAGGGGGGACGAGAAGGUGGUUAGAUGCACUCUGAGGAUAUAGGUCUGACUCACCAGUUACUGCCGCCCCCCUGCUCCCCCCACACUCACAUCAUACCGCGCCACUCAUACAUAAGAUUCACCAAAUAAAAGUGUAGACAUCCCCAAAUAAAAGUGUAGACAUCACUAAAUAAAAGUGUAGACAUCACUAAAUAAAAACAAUAUACAUCACCAAUAUCCUACCAACAAUGAACUCCCCCCCCCCUCCCGCUCAUUUCAAACCAGCUUUACGACUAUCAUUUCUUGUUUACGACAACGGCGUUGUAUCGUGCCAUUCAUGGCAUUAGAGUCUCGGUCUGUCCCAUUGUCGCUAGCAGCGGGCGAUGACGUGGGAGAGGGAGGAGGAGCAUCACGUGGCCAGAGAAGUGCACAUCAGUCCUGGCAGAGGCAGUCAGGGGUGACCAACAAAAAAUAUGCUUACUGGAAACGCAGGUGACGAAAUCAGUGGACAUGUGACGACAGAGCAUGAUGACAGACAAGAUCAACAUUUAAUUAUUCGUCUCCAGUCAAGGCAUAUUAGAAUGAGACAACACAAGGUCCGGAAGAUUAAAAGUUGAACCAUGUCACAAGAGAAGUGCUGACAAUGUCCCUCAAAGCUGCUAAGAAGCCUAAUCUGGAUACCAUGCAUUCCGUAGGAAGAGCAACUGUAUGGAUCUUAAAUCCACAGCUUAGUUCAUCUCAGAUAUAAACCUAGGACUAACCCUAACCAUAUCUAGACAAUCCAACUUCAUAAGGAAAACUCAAAGUAGUAAAGAUUUUGAUUGCACAGUUGUUUAUUUCCUACUACUUCUGUGUGUUUUUAUUUUUGUCGGUGUUUUGUUUUUGAUGUAGGCUUAGUAUUUAUUUAGCGUCAAGUACAGUGUCUCCACAGCCUAGCUGCGAAACUUGAAUUCAUUUGUUUGAAAGUAUUGAAUUUUAUCAAGACCCGGGUUAAAGUUACACUAAAAGUGCAUGUGUUGUUUGAAAUAAAUAUAUUUUGCAUAACAAAUAUAUAGUAGAACAUACUGAUUAAAUAUACAAUUAGGACCGGCCUUAGGUAAUUGGAGGCCCAAGACAAAGCGAAUAGGGAGGGAGUAAUUAUGUUGUAGAUUCCAAUUGUAUUCAUUAGUUGUUUGUAAGGGAGGCUUACUGAUGAAUUCUGUAGAAAAGCUUAGCCCAUUCAGUCAUCUGUUGAGUGAUUCCGGCAUGACUUUAAAAAUUCACAAUCUCAAAGUGACUGCAACACAAUCAUGAACACAUACACAAGAUCCCAAGUACACAGUAAAGGAAAGUGAUACAUUUGGGAGGCCAUUACGCUUAUUCAAUUAGGAACGAGAGAGAAAGAAAGAAAGAGAGAGAGAGA
rnacentral:sRNA from 1 species